UACGGAAGGCAGCAGUGGGGAAUAUUGCACAAUGGGCGAAAGCCUGAUGCAGCUAUGCCGCGUGUAUGAAGAAGGCCUUAGGGUUGUAAAGUACUUUCAUCGGGGAGGAAAAACAAAACUAAUAAUUUUAUUUCUUGACGUUACCCGAAAAAGAAGCACCGGCUAACUCCGUGCCAGCAGCCGCGGUAAUACGGAGGGUGCUAGCGUUAAUCAGAAUUACUGGGCGUAAAGAGCACGUAGGUGGUUUUUUUAAAGUCAGAUGUGAAAUCCCUGGGCUUAACCUGGAACUGCAUUUUGAAACUGAAAUACUAGAGUAUCGUAGAGGGAGGUAGAAUUCUAGGUGUAGCGGUGAAAUGCGUAGAUAUCUGGAGGAUACCUGUGGCGAAAGCGGCCUCCUAAACGAAUACUGACACUGAGGUGCGAAAGCGUGGGGAGCAAACAGGGAUUAGAUACCCGU
rnacentral:rRNA from 1 species